GAGUAAAGCUGAGUAAAUCGAGGAAAGGAAUUCAUGAGGAAUUGACCAAAAUCCAAAGCAAUCCAGGACAGACUGGGAGGAGUUUUGUCUCUCAUGCAUAAGUGGAUGAAGACCCAUAAUUGGAAAACAUUAGCAGGACAUCAGUUCCAGACAUUACCAAAAAGUGAAGGCAGAUGGUGUUCUCUGAGGAAAUGACACAGCUGAGGAAGAGUGCGGUAAGUAAUAAAUGGGAAAAAUCCCUUUAGUGAUUUUCUAAG
rnacentral:lncRNA from 1 species